GUGAGCCCCACACCCAGCUGCGCCCUGAGCACCCCAGCAUCCCCCGCAGGCUCCUGGAGCCACUCAGGCUUUGGAUUUGCUUCCUUACACGUCGUGGGCUUGAGAGCCUGACUUGAAAUAUAACGUUAGUGGGUUUGCGGUAAAAGCGGCAGAGAGGAUAGGAUGACAAGCGGGGCAGAGGGGACUGAUGGAAAGCAGGUGUGGAGGAGGAAGAUAGGAGGAGGAGAAAGAGGAAAACAUGACUGAAGGACGCGAGGCGCUGCUUGGAACAGACGUCGUUUGUGUGCACCCGCCUGUGUUUUCCCCCCCAGCUAAAGAAAAAAAAAAUAAUAAUGGUCUCUGCAGCCAGGAAUAUCUCGCCCUGCCUUCAGAAUGAUUUCAGGUCUCCCGAGGACAGUUUACGGUCUCGUGCCCUGGUCCUCCCGCGCUGCCCUGACUAAUGACAGCUUUGUAAUCCAGUUGGGAAAUAAUCUCACAUCACUGCACUCGGAGCUCGUGAGCUGUAAAACUUCUGGAUUGAACUCCUUCUCCUGGUCACUCCAGCAAGCUGCAAGCAAAUGCAUGAGGGAUGUGGUCAUAAUUGUCAACAGAUUUGUAAAUUUGUGUCAUUAGUUAUGCGCAUAAUGGAUUUUAUUCUAAUGAGCUUGUUCAUAAGAAUGCCAGGAGGACUUGGCCCCUUUGGAGGAAAUAAACUACAAACUUUGCCCAUGCAUUUUAAAACACGUCAGUGGCACAUACAGGGGGAAAAACAACAUUUCCUCUCCUUUCAGAGCACUGCAACACUCACUUAAGUGAAGCUGAAGCAAUAAGCCGCCACUCCUUCCCCCACUGUAAGCUCCUCGUCUACCUUUGCUGGUGUUUCUCCCAUAUACACAGACACUGGCAGAUGGGGGCUUGUUUUUUUUCCACCCAUCAAGUUAAAAAUCUGGAAACCAUCACAGAUCUUUGGGCUAAAGAUACUGGUGUGGAAAUAUCACAGCAGCCCUUGCCCAUGACCUCCUGAAUGACAUCUAUCUGGGCAUGCAACACUGCCCGAGCCUCAAAGCCAGGCGGAACUGCUGGUCCCUCCUCUGCGCCCCAGGUUAUGGGGUCCUCUCCACAGGGCCUGCUGCACGUGGAGGAGCAGCAAAACUAGUCAGUAUUAAAUCAAUUUUUACUGUAUCUAUUACCAUUAAAUCUAUUCUUAUUCAAC
rnacentral:lncRNA from 7 species